UAGGGAAUCUUCGGCAAUGGACGAAAGUCUGACCGAGCAACGCCGCGUGAGUGAAGAAGGUUUUCGGAUCGUAAAACUCUGUUGUUAGAGAAGAACAAGGACGUUAGUAACUGAACGUCCCUGACGGUAUCUAACCAGAAAGCCACGGCUAACUACGUGCCAGCAGCCGCGGUAAUACGUAGGUGGCAAGCGUUGUCCGGAUUUAUUGGGCGUAAAGCGAGCGCAGGCGGUUUCUUAAGUCUGAUGUGAAAGCCCCCGGCUCAACCGGGGAGGGUCAUUGGAAACUGGGAGACUUGAGUGCAGAAGAGGAGAGUGGAAUUCCAUGUGUAGCGGUGAAAUGCGUAGAUAUAUGGAGGAACACCAGUGGCGAAGGCGGCUCUCUGGUCUGUAACUGACGCUGAGGCUCGAAAGCGUGGGGAGCAAACAGG
rnacentral:rRNA from 1 species